UUGGAGGGCAAGUCUGGUGCCAGCAGCCGCGGUAAUUCCAGCUCCAAUAGCGUAUAUUAAAGUUGUUGCAGUUAAAAAGCUCGUAGUUGAAUUUCGGGGUUCUACCGUUGGUCGGGCAAUAGUCUGUACUGGCGUGUAGAACUUCUACCUUCUGGGGAACUAUCAUGUUAUUUAUUUAGCGUGGUAGGAAACCAGGACCUUUACCUUGAAAAAAUUAGAGUGUUCAAAGCAGGCUUACGUCUGAAUACAUUAGCAUGGAAUAAUAAAAUAGGACGGUGGUCCUGUUUUGUUGGUUUCUGAAUCACCGUAAUGAUUAAUAGGGAUAGUUGGGGGCAUUAGUAUUCAAUUGUCAGAGGUGAAAUUCUUGGAUUUAUUGAAGACUAACUUCUGCGAAAGCAUUUGCCAAGGAUGUUUUCAUUAAUCAAGAACGAAAGUUAGGGGAUCGAAGACGAUCAGAUACCGUCGUAGUCUUAACCAUAAACUAUGCCGACUAGGGAUCGGACGAUGUUAAUUUUUCUUGACUCGUUCGGCACCUUACGGGAAAC
rnacentral:rRNA from 1 species